CCUACGGGAGGCAGCAGUGGGGAAUAUUGCACAAUGGGGGAAACCCUGAUGCAGCGACGCCGCGUGAGCGAUGAAGUAUUUCGGUAUGUAAAGCUCUAUCAGCAGGGAAGAAAAUGACGGUACCUGACUAAGAAGCCCCGGCUAACUACGUGCCAGCAGCCGCGGUAAUACGUAGGGGGCAAGCGUUAUCCGGAUUUACUGGGUGUAAAGGGAGCGUAGACGGUGGAGCAAGCCUGAUGUGAAAGGCCGGGGCUCAACCCCGGGACUGCAUUUGAAACUGUGGUACUAGAGUAUCGGAGAGGCAGGCGGAAUUCCUAGUGUAGCGGUGAAAUGCGUAGAUAUUAGGAGGAACACCAGUGGCGAAGGCAGCCUGCCGGAGGACGACUGACGCUGAGGCACGAAAGCGUGGGGAGCGAACAGGAUUAGAUACCCGGGUAGUC
rnacentral:rRNA from 1 species